CAUUCGCCUCUAAGCUGAUAGCUCUUACGGAUCUGCUCCUCAGGGACCCCACCCAUCUCCUAGUUAACCAAUAAGAGCACCCCACCCCCACCAUCCCAGCAACAAUGAUUGGUUCAGGAAUGAGGGCGUGGCCAAAGCUAAGCCAACCAAAGCCAGUGAUACUGGAUUCUGGGACUAAUUUUUAAAUUUCUUAAGAAAAACUCUUCGUACUGGAUUGCUGAGAGAAUGGGAUGUAAGGUCUGAACUCAUGUCUGCCUUCAUGCUACCAGCAAAGAGAACCUUGAAACCAAGUGCCCUGUAUCCAGUAGGUGCUUAAUAGUAGUUUAUCGAGUGAAGGAAAUAAUGGGGAAAACAUCUGCCAAUGCAAGUAGUGCCAGUGCAAUGAUUCAAAGUGGUACUAAGUGCCCCCUGGAGAGGGCUGCAUACACAUGCAAUUCCAAGUCUAAGAAUGUAUCUCACAGAUACAUUUGCACAUGGACCCAUAUCAGUGUUACGGUGAAAGGUUGGACAGGUUAUGCACUGCCCAACAUUAGUGUGCACCAUUCACAUCAGGCGGGACAGAGUGGGAGAAGAUAACUUUGCUGUAAACCUUUGUGCCCUGUGUGAUUUUUUUUUUACCAUGAUCAUAUAUAGUUUCUUCAGAAGAAAAAUUUUUAUAUCAAAGCCGAAACUGUGCAUUUACAUUUCUUUAUACAUUGCUUGGCACAUCAGUGCUCAAUAUGUAUCAGCUGUAUCAGCAGCCAUCAUUAUUGUUAUUUUUUAAGCUGUUUUGAAAACCUUACGGUGUUAUUACACCAUGGAGACACACGAGGGCGCGCCAGGCAUCUAUUUAAAAAGUGUUUUCAUAGCAGUUCGUGGAGGCUGUAAUUUUGAGUGUGUACAGGAGAUGGGGGAAAAAGUCUUGGGGGUCCCGUGUGGGUGACAAGGGCAAGUCUUAGUUCCAACUUGGUCCAGUCUGCCAGCCUUGUCAAUGAAAUACCAGGACUCCCUUCCUGAGUGCUCCAUAGUGGAAUCAGGGUGAGCGUCCACUCUUUGCAAGUCCUUAGAGGAGAGAGCUGGCUGAGCCGGAGGACUGGCCCGGGGAGCCCCUGCUGCACCCGGACCUGUGUUCUCAUCUGUGCAGCAGAAACAAUCAAACCCACCUGCAGGGCUAUCGUGAGAUUAAGCAGGGUCUCUCAGAGAUCAAAAGAAGCCCGAACUACUUUCUAGAGUGAAGAACUGGAAAGAAGAGAGAGAGAGAAGGAAAAGAAAGCCUCAAACAAUCACCAAGAUUGAAGUCACUCUCACAAGGUUAAAUUUUACAACUCACCCCUCUGCCUCAUAUACACGGCAACCUAACAGUGCCAGGCAGAGAUGGUGGGAUUUAUUUUAAAACAGUAACUUAUAUGGUCUGAUAGAAGGACCCAAGCUUGGCCGGGCGCGGUGGCUCACGCCUGUAUUCCCAGCACUUUGGGAGGCUGAGGCGGGUGGAUCACGAGGUCAGGAGUUUGAGACCAGCCUGGCCAACAUGGUGAAACCCCGUCUCUACUAAAAAUACACAAAUUAGCCGGGCGUGGCGGCGCGCGCCUGUAAUCCCAGCUACUCAGGAGGCUGAGGCAGGAGAAUUGCUUGAACCCUGGAGGCGGAAGCUGCAGUGAGCGGAGAUAGCACCACUGCACUCCAGCCUGGGUGACAGAGCGAGACUCCGUGUCAAAAAAAAAAAAAAAAAGAAAAGAAAAAGAAGGACCCAAGCUUAAUAAUUUCUUUCUGACCCCUUCUGCUAUCAGUUCUGGCGGUGCUUCUCCGUGAUUUGGGUAUAAGCUUAUUCGAUAAGGUUAUACAUAUACUCAUAAGAUAAUACACAAAAGCAUAUGCAGAGGGCUGCGGCAGACAGAUUGCUGGUCUACUGGAAAGCCAGCUCCCCUUCUUGGCUAAGAGAGUGCCCAAUGUGUUCCAUGCACGGCGGAUGACAAUGUGCCCAAUGGAGAGAUGCUUCAGCCCCAGCCCCAGGGCAUCCAUUGCGAUUGGGCUAAGUCAUUCCUUUCCGCCAGCAAUUGCUUUAUAGGCAGGCAGAUGCCCUGGUUCUGGCCACAGAGACACAAGUGGAUGUCUCCUGGGAGCUUCUGAAACAGAGUUUUUGUGUGUGUGUGAUAAGAUAGAGACACUUGAGAAACUUCUCUCCUGUUGGUCUUAUCUUUGGAUGUUGUCAGAACGUUUGGAGCUGCAGCAGCCAUCUUGUGACCACAAGGGAAAGACCAAGGGAAUUGUAGAGA
rnacentral:lncRNA from 1 species